CAGUCGCCGCGGUAAUACAGAGGGUGCAAGCGUUAAUCGGAAUUACUGGGCGUAAAGCGCGCGUAGGUGGUUUGUUAAGUUGGAUGUGAAAUCCCCGGGCUCAACCUGGGAACUGCAUCCAAAACUGGCAAGCUAGAGUAUGGUAGAGGGUGGUGGAAUUUUCUGUGUAGCGGUGAAAUGCGUAGAUAUAGGAAGGAACACCAGUGGCGAAGGCGACCACCUGGACUGAUACUGACACUGAGGUGCGAAAGCGUGGGGAGCAAACAGGAUUAGAGACCCCAGUAGUCCCUGUCUCUUAUAC
rnacentral:rRNA from 1 species